rnacentral:rRNA from 1 species
GACGAACGCUGGCGGCACGCCUAACACAUGCAAGUCGAACGAAGCUGGUAGCUUGCUAUCAGACUGAGUGGCAGACGGGUGAGUAACACGUGGGUAUCUGCCUAUUGGUGGGGAAUAACUCUUGGAAACGAGAGCUAAUACCGCAUAAGCCCUGAGGGGGAAAGAUUUAUCGCCAAUAGAAGAGCCCGCGUUAGAUUAGCUAGUUGGUAGGGUAAUGGCCUACCAAGGCUACGAUCUAUAGCUGGUCUGAGAGGAUGAUCAGCCACACUGGGACUGAGACACGGCCCAGACUCCUACGGGAGGCAGCAGUGGGGAAUAUUGGACAAUGGGGGCAACCCUGAUCCAGCGAUGCCGCGUGAGUGAAGAAGGCCUUAGGGUUGUAAAGCUCUUUCGGUGGGGAAGAUGAUGACGGUACCCACAAAAGAAGCACCGGCUAACUCUGUGCCAGCAGCCGCGGUAAUACAGAGGGUACAAGCGUUGUUCGGAAUU